rnacentral:rRNA from 1 species
AUACGUAGGUGGCAAGCGUUGUCCGGAAUUACUGGGUGUAAAGGGCGUGUAGGCGGGGAUGCAAGUCAGAUGUGAAAUUCCGGGGCUCCACCCCGGCCCUGCCUCUGAAACUGUGUCUCUUGAGUGCUGGAGAGGAAAGCGGAAUUCCUAGUGUAGCGGUGAAAUGCGUAGAUAUUAGGAGGAACACCAGUGGCGAAGGCGGCUUUCUGGACAGUAACUGACGCUGAGGCGCGAAAGCGUGGGUAGCGAACAGGAUUAGAUACCCUGGUAGUCCACGCCGUAAACGAUGGAUACUAGGUGUAGGAGGUAUCGACCCCUUCUGUGCCGGAGUUAACACAAUAAGUAUCCCACCUGGGGAGUACGGCCGCAAG